rnacentral:misc_RNA from 1 species
GAUGAAGAACGUAGCGAAAUGCGAUAAGUAGUGUGAAUUGCAGAAUUCAGUGAAUCAUCGAAUCUUUGAACGCACAUUGCGCCCCUUGGUAUUCCAUGGGGCAUGCUUGUUCGAGCGUCAUUUCAACCAUCAAGCCCCCGGGCUUGUGUUGGGGACCUGCGGCUGCCGCAGGCCCUGAAAAGCAGUGGCGGGCUCGCUGUCACACCGAGCGUAGUAGAUUUUAUCUCGCUCUGGGCGUGCUGCGGGUUCCGGCCGUUAAACCACCCUUUUAACCCAAGGUUGACCUCGGAUCAGGUAGGAAGACCCGCUGAACUUAAGCAUAUCAAUAAGCGGAGGA